UCAGUUCUGCUCCAUAUUCAGAGCUCUCUCAAAUACGUGGAUUGCAGAGACUCGCAGAUUUGCAGCAGAGUGACUAAUCAAUUACUUCUUCUGGUCCUGAUUCUUCCAGUACAUUUACAAAACCCAUGAACUAGACAAUUAAAAAAAUCAAUGCCACAGGCUAACAAUCAAAUUCAUGCACAUUUUACUCCCUCCAAUAAGCCACAACAGUAACGCCUUACCUAAGGAAGAAAAAGCAACAAAAAAAACCCUCAAAAUUGGAACCCUCAACAGGAUCACCACAUCCAAUCAAAAAGCCUCAGAAAAUUUUGAUCUAAUCCCAUGCACAAAAUUUCUGUGCAAGCAAAAUCCGGUACCUUCCCUCCAUGAUUAGAAAAAUCGAAUAACUUAGAAGCUAUGCAAUAGAAAAUUAUGCCUUUCAGCUUAGGGUCUUUUCGUGGCGGGGUUGAUCGGAAGCACGGGCAUUGCGUAUAGAAGCAGAAAAUGCAGUCGCAGGAAUACCCAUGUCUCCGGCGAGAUUCUAAUCGCCGGCGCGGCGAAACAGAGAAGGAAAUUGAGGAAAGAGGAAGAGGGGGAGAAAUAAAAGAACUUUCUUGUGCUGGGGGUAGGCGAUUAGGUGUUUUUUGGGUAGAGAGUGGAGACUGGAGACGCUGGAAACGGCGUUGGCCAAGCUGACUAGUGACUAGGCAUAGAAUUGCCACCUGGAUUAGGACAUGGCAAAUUUUAUCCUCAUCUCGCAGUUUGCUAACAUGGCACGAGGUAGCACCCGAGAAAUUAGUUUGAUUGUGGAGCUUGUACGCAUAUGCCACGUGCCGGCACUUGAAUUCGUGGGCACUCUCGAUUGGCUAAUUUUUAUGGAGAAAUUACGAAGUUGACCUCCCACUACGGUUCUGCGGUUGGGGUCUUGUGGUGUGGAGAUACGUGAAACAGUAGUGGAUGAUUCGUGGGGCAAAUUUGAAAUUUGAACGGAGGGCUGAGGGGUGAAAGGGGUGGUGGUGAAAAGUGAAAAGUGCAUGAGGUGGAUGCCUAACAUUGA
rnacentral:misc_RNA from 1 species